AAAAUACUCCUUCCGUCCGGAAAUACUUGUAUCUAGACUUAUUUUAAUUAUAGAUACAUCUAUUUUAUUCAUGUCUAGGACAAGUAUUUUCGGACGGAGGGAGUAUCAU
rnacentral:pre_miRNA from 1 species